rnacentral:rRNA from 1 species
UUCGGGGGUACUCGAGUGGCGAACGGGUGAGUAACACGUGGGCAAUCUGCCCUGCACUUCGGGAUAAGCCUGGGAAACUGGGUCUAAUACCGGAUAGGACCUUUAGACGCAUGUCUUUUGGUGGAAAGCUUUUGCGGUGUGGGAUGGGCCCGCGGCCUAUCAGCUUGUUGGUGGGGUGACGGCCUACCAAGGCGACGACGGGUAGCCGGCCUGAGAGGGUGUCCGGCCACACUGGGACUGAGAUACGGCCCAGACUCCUACGGGAGGCAGCAGUGGGGAAUAUUGCACAAUGGGCGCAAGCCUGAUGCAGCGACGCCGCGUGGGGGAUGACGGCCUUCGGGUUGUAAACCUCUUUCACCAUCGACGAAGGUUCGGGUUUUCUCGGAUUGACGGUAGGUGGAGAAGAAGCACCGGCCAACUACGUGCCAGCAGCCGCGGUAAUACGUAGGGUGCGAGCGUUGUCCGGAAUUACUGGGCGUAAAGAGCUCGUAGGUGGUUUGUCGCGUUGUUCGUGAAAUCUCACGGCUUAACUGUGAGCGUGCGGGCGAUACGGGCAGACUAGAGUACUGCAGGGGAGACUGGAAUUCCUGGUGUAGCGGUGGAAUGCGCAGAUAUCAGGAGGAACACCGGUGGCGAAGGCGGGUCUCUGGGCAGUAACUGACGCUGAGGAGCGAAAGCGUGGGGAGCGAACAGGAUUAGAUACCCUGGUAGUCCACGCCGUAAACGGUGGGUACUAGGUGUGGGUUUCCUUCCUUGGGAUCCGUGCCGUAGCUAACGCAUUAAGUACNCCGCCUGGGGAGUACGGCCGCAAGGCUAAAACUCAAAGGAAUUGACGGGGGCCCGCACAAGCGGCGGAGCAUGUGGAUUAAUUCGAUGCAACGCGAAGAACCUUACCUGGGUUUGACAUGCACAGGACGCGUCUAGAGAUAGGCGUUCCCUUGUGGCCUGUGUGCAGGUGGUGCAUGGCUGUCGUCAGCUCGUGUCGUGAGAUGUUGGGUUAAGUCCCGCAACGAGCGCAACCCUUGUCUCAUGUUGCCAGCGGGUAAUGCCGGGGACUCGUGAGAGACUGCCGGGGUCAACUCGGAGGAAGGUGGGGAUGACGUCAAGUCAUCAUGCCCCUUAUGUCCAGGGCUUCACACAUGCUACAAUGGCCGGUACAAAGGGCUGCGAUGCCGCAAGGUUAAGCGAAUCCUUUUAAAGCCGGUCUCAGUUCGGAUUGGGGUCUGCAACUCGACCCCAUGAAGUCGGAGUCGCUAGUAAUCGCAGAUCAGCAACGCUGCGGUGAAUACG